GACGAACGCUGGCGGCGUGCCUAAUACAUGCAAGUAGAACGCACAGUUUAUACCGUAGCUUGCUACACCAUAGACUGUGAGUUGCGAACGGGUGAGUAACGCGUAGGUAACCUGCCUGGUAGCGGGGGAUAACUAUUGGAAACGAUAGCUAAUACCGCAUAAUAUUAAUUAUUGCAUGAUAAUUAAUUGAAAGGUGCAAUUGCACCACUACCAGAUGGACCUGUGUUGUAUUAGCUAGUAGGUGAGGUAACGGCUCACCUAGGCGACGAUACAUAGCCGACCUGAGAGGGUGAUCGGCCACACUGGGACUGAGACACGGCCCAGACUCCUACGGGAGGCAGCAGUAGGGAAUCUUCGGCAAUGGACGAAAGUCUGACCGAGCAACGCCGCGUGAGUGAAGAAGGUUUUCGGAUCGUAAAGCUCUGUUGUAAGAGAAGAACGGGUGUGAGAGUGGAAAGUUCACACUGUGACGGUAUCUUACCAGAAAGGGACGGCUAACUACGUG
rnacentral:rRNA from 1 species